rnacentral:rRNA from 1 species
GACGAACGCUGGCGGCGUGCCUAAUACAUGCAAGUAGAACGCUGAAGGAGGAGCUUGCUUCUCUGGAUGAGUUGCGAACGGGUGAGUAACGCGUAGGUAACCUGCCUGGUAGCGGGGGAUAACUAUUGGAAACGAUAGCUAAUACCGCAUAAGAGUAGAUGUUGCAUGACAUUUGCUUAAAAGGUGCAAUUGCAUCACUACCAGAUGGACCUGCGUUGUAUUAGCUAGUUGGUGAGGUAACGGCUCACCAAGGCAACGAUACAUAGCCGACCUGAGAGGGUGAUCGGCCACACUGGGACGGAGACACGGCCCAGACUCCUACGGGAGGCAGCAGUAGGGAAUCUUCGGCAAUGGACGGAAGUCUGACCGAGCAACGCCGCGUGAGUGAAGAAGGUUUUCGGAUCGUAAAGCUCUGUUGUAAGGGAAGAACGAGUGUGAGAGUGGAAAGUUCACACUGUGACGGUAUCUUACCAGAAAGGGACGGCUAACUACGUG